rnacentral:tmRNA from 1 species
GGGGUAGUACCGGUUUCGACGGGGAUUUUGAAUGCGGAUAAGCCAUUGAUGUACCGGACCAUCUGAAAAGCCGGAAACUAAACAUAAACGCUGACGAUAAUUUAGCAUUUGCUGCUUAAUUGCAGCAGAGUCGUCUGAGGUUCCCGUUCUUCAGGGUGCGGCUCUCGCCUAACGGGGAACCCCCGGCGGAAAGCUUUGACCGCUCGGGGAGAUUCAUGAAGCUACCAAAAGAGUCUCUCCUGCUUACCGGUGCAGACUUGAGGGAAGAAAAAUAGAUAAGCUAUAAUGGUAGAAAGUUCGUUGGAUGAAUUUUCGGACGCGGGUUCGAUUCCCGCCUGCUCCACGA